UACCUGGUUGAUCCUGCCAGUAGUCAUAUGCUUGUCUCAAAGAUUAAGCCAUGCAAGUCUAAGUACGAGCUCUCGUACAGUGAAACUGCGAAUGGCUCAUUAAAUCAGUUAUGGUUCAUUUGAUCGUACAGUUUACUUGGAUAACUGUGGUAAUUCUAGAGCUAAUACAUGCGAGAAGCGCCGACCUCGCGGGAGGCGUGCAUUUAUCAGACCAAAAACCGGCCGCGUCUUCGGGCGCGUUCGCCUUGGUGACUCUGGAUAACUUUGCGGAUCGCACGGUCUAGCACCGGCGACGGAUCAUUCAAGUGUCUGCCCUAUCAACUUUCGUCGGUACGGUAUUUGCCUACCGAGGUUCUUACGGGUGACGGGGAAUCAGGGUUCGAUUCCGGAGAGGGAGCCUGAGAAACGGCUACCACAUCCAAGGAAGGCAGCAGGCGCGCAAAUUACCCAUUCCCGACGCGGGGAGGUAGUGACGAAAAAUAACAAUGCAGGACUCGUUCGAGGCCCUGUAAUUGGAAUGAGUACACUUUAAAAGCUUUAACGAGUAUCCAUUGGAGGGCAAGUCUGGUGCCAGCAGCCGCGGUAAUUCCAGCUCCAAAAGUAUAUAUUUAAGUUGUUGCGGUUAAAAAGCUCGUAGUUGGAUU
rnacentral:ncRNA from 1 species